rnacentral:rRNA from 1 species
CCUACGGGGGGCUGCAGUGGGGAAUAUUGCGCAAUGGGCGAAAGCCUGACGCAGCGACGCCGCGUGAGGGAUGAAGGUCUUCGGAUCGUACACCUCUGUCAGCAGGGAAGAACGGUCACUGUGCUAAUCAGCAGUGAAUUGACGGUACCUGCAAAGGAAGCACCGGCUAACUCCGUGCCAGCAGCCGCGGUAAUACGGAGGGUGCGAGCGUUAAUCGGAAUUACUGGGCGUAAAGCGCUCGUAGGCGGGAUGUCAAGUCCAGGGUGAAAUCCCCGCGCUCAACGUGGGAACUGCCUUUGAAACUGGCAAACUGGAGUGUGUGAGAGGAUAGUGGAAUUCCAGGUGAAGGAGUGAAAUCCGUAGAUAUCUGGAGGAACAUCAGUGGCGAAGGCGACUAUCUGGCACAUAACUGACGCUGAGGAGCGAAAGCGUGGGUAGCAAACAGGAUUAGAUACCCCAGUAGUC